rnacentral:rRNA from 1 species
AUUGAACGCUGGCGGCAGGCUUAACACAUGCAAGUCGAGCGGGGGAGGUUGCUUCGGUAACUGACCUAGCGGCGGACGGGUGAGUAAUGCUUAGGAAUCUGCCUAUUAGUGGGGGACAACAUUCCGAAAGGGAUGCUAAUACCGCAUACGCCCUACGGGGGAAAGCAGGGGAUCUUCGGACCUUGCGCUAAUAGAUGAGCCUAAGUCGGAUUAGCUAGUUGGUGGGGUAAAGGCCUACCAAGGCGACGAUCUGUAGCGGGUCUGAGAGGAUGAUCCGCCACACUGGGACGGAAACACGGCCCAGACGCCUACGGGAGGCAGCAGUGGGGAAUAUUGGACAAUGGGCGGAAGCCUGAUCCAGCCAUGCCGCGUGUGUGAAGAAGGCCUUUUGGUUGUAAAGCACUUUAAGCGAGGAGGAGGCUCUUAAGGUUAAUACCCUUGAUGAGUGGACGUUACUCGCAGAAUAAGCACCGGCUAACUCCGUGCCAGCCGCCGCCGUAACAC